rnacentral:tmRNA from 1 species
GGGGAUGACUGGUUUCGACGGUUAAGUUGAAGCGGCAGUCGCGUGUCGAGGUUGGACUCCGGGCCUCGUUAAAAGGAGCCCAAAACAUUAAAUGCUGACGAAAGUUACGCACUCGCUGCCUAAAUAAAGGCGCGACGUCUUUACCCUGACGCCUGUUAGGGGCUAAAGGCGACGACAACAGGCUGGUGUCAAGAUCGGGUAUCCGGGUGGCGACAUGAGAAAAUAAC